UCCCACCGGUGUAGCAAAAGUUGCACCCAAACCGUUCUUUUAUUCCGCAGGUAGCACACCGUUUUUACACUCGAUUGCCACCGGUGCAGAAAAUCCUACACCCUGAUCGAGCUGGGUGUAGCAGCAAAUCAUGAAUAACAGAAACAGCUGUUCUAUCUGUUUGAAGAAUGACAUUUUGUUUUGAUUGACGCCUUCACUAAUACUAUCAUACGCUGUCAAAAUAUUGCACCGAAACCGUUCUAUUUUCCGGUGUCAAUUGUUACACUCGCACGGUGCACCGUCG